UGACUGACCUAUGGUACUUUUUCAACACGU
rnacentral:piRNA from 1 species